AACAGACGCUGGCGGCGUGCCUAAUACAUGCAAGUCGAACGGGGAAAGCUUUCGGGUGAGUACUAGUGGCGCACGGGUGAGGAACGCGUGGAUAAUCUGCCUUAGAGUGGGGGAUAACUAGUCGAAAGAUUAGCUAAUACCGCAUAAGACCACAGGAGCUGCGGCUCUAGGGGUCAAAGGUUUUUCGCUCUAAGAUGAGUCCGCGUAAGAUUAGCUAGUUGGUGAGGUAAAGGCUCACCAAGGCGACGAUCUUUAACUGGUCUGAGAGGAUGAUCAGUCACACUGGAACUGAGACACGGUCCAGACUCCUACGGGAGGCAGCAGUAGGGAAUAUUGCACAAUGGAGGAAACUCUGAUGCAGCGACGCCGCGUGAGUGAUGAAGGCCUUCGGGUCGUAAAGCUCUGUCGCAGGGGAAUAACACAAUGAAUGUACCCUGUAAGAAAGGAUCGGCUAACUUCGUGCCAGCCGCCGCCGUAACAC
rnacentral:rRNA from 1 species